rnacentral:rRNA from 1 species
CCUACGGGAGGCAGCAGUAGGGAAUAUUGGACAAUGGGGGAAACCCUGAUCCAGCUAUGCCGCGUGUGUGAAGAAGGCCUUAGGGUUGUAAAGCACUUUAAGUUGUGAGGAAAGUUUGGUAGUUAACACCUGCCAGAUGUGACGUUAACAACAGAAUAAGCACCGGCUAACUCCGUGCCAGCAGCCGCGGUAAUA